UACGUAGGGUGCAGGCGUUAAUCGGAAUUACUGGGCGUAAAGCGUGCGCAGGCGGUCUGCUAAGACAGGUGUGAAAUCCCCGGGCUUAACCUGGGAACUGCGCUUGUUACUGGCAGGCUGGAGUGUGGCAGAGGGGGGUGGAAUUCCGACGUGUAGCAGUGAAAUGCGUAGAGAUGUGGAGGAACACCGAUGGCGAAAGCAGCCCCCUGGGCUAACACUGACGCUCAUGCACGAAAGCGUGGGGAGCAAACAGG
rnacentral:rRNA from 1 species